CAAAGGCGAGUACACAAGGUUUAAAUAGUAUAACAUAAGUAUAAAGCAUUUUACUCGAAUCCACAUGGCAAUUUGUAAGCAAGGUAAUUAGCAUGCAUAUUAUUACGUCUAAACCCAAAGUGUCCACUAGUAUUUAGCAUCCCUCGCCACAAAAGUGACGAGACCGUAUAGUAUAAUGACCUAACAAUCCCCCGUCGGGUGGUGUGCUACUCCUAUAGCGCUAUAAUUGUUAAGCGAGGGUAUAACAUAGUAAUGGCAUAAAGCAUGUAUUAUCUAGCAUAACAAGUAGCAUGUAUAACGGAUUGAGUUCAUAAAGCAUGUUUAUGUGUGGGUAAGUGUAAUUUUGUAUGGUAACAUGUUACAACCCAAAAGUGGUUUAAAACGUAAAUGGGUCGAGUGUACUCACGGUCACUACUAGAAAAUGGAGUAUUAGACGGUGUUGAAGUUUUAUUUUAGAUGGGGUUAAAGCAAUAACACCGUCUUAAAAUCAAUAUCCAUAGUUGCUUUGAUUAAAAUAUUCAAGAAAAUUCAAAAAAACCCCGUCUAAUGCUUAAACACCGUCUUAUACUAUUUUAUGCAACCUUUAGACGGUGUUGUCUUGAACACCGUCUUAUAAUCCGUGUUUUGGCAACUUAGAUGAGAGUCUGGCCCUUGAUCAACAAAAAGAUCCAACGGUUGGUGUUAUAUCUUGAUAUAUCCCUCUUAACAUUAACAAAACCCUUAGGCGGCCUUUGCUUCCCACUUCCCCCCAAAUCGCACAAGCCUGAGAAGACACCACAACCACCUGAGAUGGGCACCACCACCGGAGCACUAGGUACCCACCACUCGAGACCCCUAAAUAACCACCGUAUCUCACCAUUCGCGUCUGCAGUGUCCGAGACCCACCAUUCACCACCACCGAAAUACGCCGCACCACCGCCGGUUUCAAGGAACUCACCACCGUAUCUCAACAAUUGAUGAAUUUGGGCCACUCAGACCAGCAUUUUUCCACUCAGACCAGCAGCCCGGCAGCAUCCUCUUACCCUGACAGGACCAGAAAUCCGGUCGGUUAUUAUGCACAACUUGUUUUUGCUCUAACUGUCGUAAUAUUCCCGCUGGUUUUAAUGUCUUACCCUAUAAUUACAAGCCUAAUUCCAGCUCAAACAAGUGUCCUCAAGCUUCAGGGUCCCGAUUUGUCUGAGCUUUACAAGUCCGCAGUAGAGGUGGCGACUGUGACUGCGUAUCUGGUUAGUACAAAAUGGACUAUGAAAAUGAAUACCACCAACAGAUCCCACAGUCAAGAUAUGAAUGCCUGAUUGCCUUCUUUUUGAUGUGGAUGACACCCUUUAUCCUCUAAGCUCUGGGCUGUCAGCUGAGGGCACCAAGAACAUCAAAGUUUUAGACAUGCAUCAAUUGGAGUGAUGGUUUAUGACCAGGGAUUUGUUGCGGAGAUGAGUAGCCGAAGAAGGAUGUGGUUUUGCUGGCAGUGAUCUUGUAGUUAUGUGUGUAUGAGAGAGAGAGAGAGCCGAUCGAUCGCUCCCAAAGACUGGAAACCUUUUUUUUUAACAUCAAGCACAUUAAAGCUUGCAUAUGAGUACUUAAUCCCCCUCCAGGCAGCUGUUUGGAAAGUAUUUGACUAAGUAUCUGAUGAAGAAGCGGAUGAUGACACGGAUAUGACGUACAAUUAUUACAUUUUAUAUCUUAGAUAGUUUUAUGACGUGUUUGUGAAUUAUGACUUAAAACGAACCCGGAUUGUGACGUUUAUGCUUAUAUUUUUUUUGAAAGGCAACCAUUUAUGCUUACGUUUA